rnacentral:rRNA from 1 species
CACACUGUAAACGAUGAUAACUCGCUGUCGGCGAUACACAGUCGGUAGCCAAGCGAAAGCGAUAAGUUAUCCACCUGGGGAGUACGACCGCAAGGUUGAAACUCAAAGGAAUUGACGGGG